UACGUAGGGUGCGAGCGUUAAUCGGAAUUACUGGGCGUAAAGCGUCUGUAGGUGGCUUUUCAAGUCCGCCGUCAAAUCCCAGGGCUCAACCCUGGACAGGCGGUGGAAACUGCCAAGCUGGAGUACGGUAGGGGCAGAGGGAAUUUCCGGUGGAGCGGUGAAAUGCGUAGAGAUCGGAAAGAACACCAACGGCGAAAGCACUCUGCUGGGCCGACACUGACACUGAGAGACGAAAGCUAGGGGAGCGAAUGGG
rnacentral:rRNA from 1 species